rnacentral:rRNA from 1 species
GAUUGAAGUCAGUCGUACCGACGAGAAAUCAGCUUUUCGAGUGCGAACUUGUGGGCGUGCGUGAGUCUUUAACGGGCCUCGCUGUUUGCAAUUUUGUGCUUUUUGAGUGUACUUUUUCGUAUGGUAGGCCAACGUCAGUUUUGAUCACCGUAAAAUGAUCGGAGGAAUGUAGCUUCGAUCUCGCAUUGAAGUGUUAUAGCCUCUGGUAGAUGCGGUGACCGAAACUGAGGAUUGCAACGAAUACCCUUCUGGGCUAUCCGUCUGGCCUUACUGAAAGUUGCUUAGGUGCCGAAAGCGUGCUUACGGCUAUUUAAGUGAC